rnacentral:rRNA from 1 species
UAGGGAAUCUUCCGCAAUGGGCGAAAGCCUGACGGAGCAACGCCGCGUGAGUAAUGAAGGUCUUCGGAUCGUAAAACUCUGUUAUUAGGGAAGAACAAAUGUGUAAGUAACUAUGCACGUCUUGACGGUACCUAAUCAGAAAGCCACGGCUAACUACGUGCCAGCAGCCGCGGUAAUACGUAGGUGGCAAGCGUUAUCCGGAAUUAUUGGGCGUAAAGCGCGCGUAGGCGGUUUUUUAAGUCUGAUGUGAAAGCCCACGGCUCAACCGUGGAGGGUCAUUGGAAACUGGAAAACUUGAGUGCAGAAGAGGAAAGUGGAAUUCCAUGUGUAGCGGUGAAAUGCGCAGAGAUAUGGAGGAACACCAGUGGCGAAGGCGACUUUCUGGUCUGUAACUGACGCUGAUGUGCGAAAGCGUGGGGAUCAAACAGG